UACGGGGGGGGCAAGCGUUGUUCGGAAUUACUGGGCGUAAAGGGCUCGUAGGUGGCCAACUAAGUCAGACGUGAAAUCCCAGAGCUCAACUCUGGAACUGCCUUUGAUACUGUCGAUCUAGAGUAUGGAAGAGGUGAGUGGAAUUCCGAGUGUAGAGGUGAAAUUCGUAGAUAUCCGGAGGAACACCAGUGGCGAAGGCGGCUCACUGGUCCAUUACUGACGCUGAGGUGCGAAAGCGUGGGGAGCAAACAGG
rnacentral:rRNA from 1 species